rfam:Candidatus Moranella endobia PCIT, complete genome.
GGUUAAGUAAUUAAGCGUACACGGUGGAUGCCUAGGCAGUCAGAGGCGAUGAAGGACGUGCUAAUCUGCGAAAAGUGCCGGUGAGCUGAUAUGAAGCUUUUAAAGCCGGCAAUGUCCGAAUGGGGAAACCCGAUGCAAUGAGUUGCAUCAUCGUUAGGUGAAUCCAUAGCUUAACGAAGCGAACCAGGGGAAGUGAAACAUCUCAGUAUCCUGAGGAAAAGAAAUCAACCGAGAUUCUCCUAGUAGUGGCGAGCGAAAGGGGAAUAGCCCAGAGCCAUCAUCAGCUGGUGCAUCAGGAGAACGGUCUGGAAAGUCCGGUAACAUAGGGUGAUAGCCCCGUAUCCGAAGAUGCAUUGGUUGUGAGCUCGAUGAGUAGGGCGGGACACGUGAUAUCCUGUCUGAAGAUGGGGGGACCAUCCUCCAAGGCUAAAUACUACUGACUGACCGAUAGUGAACCAGUACCGUAAGGGAAAGAUGAAAAGAACCCCGGCAAGGGGAGUGAAAUAGAACCUGAAUCCGUGUACGUACAAGCAGUGGAAGCAUCUUUUAUUAUGGUGUGACUGCGUACCUUUUGUAUAAUGGGUCAGCGACUUAUAUUCUGUAGCAAGGUUAACUGUAUAGGGGAGCCGUAGGGAAACCGAGUCUUAACUGGGCGUUUAGUUGCAGGAUAUAGACCCGAAACCCGGUGAUCUAGCCAUGGGCAGGUUGAAGGUUAGGUAACACUAACUGGAGGACCGAACCGACUAAUGUUGAAAAAUUAGCGGAUGACUUGUGGCUAGGGGUGAAAGGCCAAUCAAACCGGGAGAUAGCUGGUUCUCCCCGAAAGCUAUUUAGGUAGCGCCUCAUGAAGUCAUCUACGGGGGUAGAGCACUGUUUCGGCUAGGGAUCCAUCCUGGAUUACCAACCCGAUGCAAACUGCGAAUACCGUAGAAUGUUAUCAUGGGAGACACACGGCGGGUGCUAACGUCCGUCGUGAAGAGGGAAACAACCCAGACCGCCAGCUAAGGUCCCAAAGUCAUGGUUAAGUGGGAAACGAUGUGGGAAGGCUCAGACAGCCAGGAUGUUGGCUUAGAAGCAGCCAUCAUUUAAAGAAAGCGUAAUAGCUCACUGGUCGAGUUAGCCUGCGCGGAAGAUGUAACGGGGCUAAACCAUGCACCGAAGCUGCGGCAGCGAACGAAGGAUAGUUCGUUGGGUAGGGGAGCGUUCUGUAAGCCUGCGAAGGUAACCUGUGAUGGUUGCUGGAGGUAUCAGAAGUGCGAAUGCUGACAUAAGUAACGAUAAAGCGGGUGAAAAGCCCGCUCGCCGGAAGACCAAGGGUUCCUGUUCAACGUUAAUCGGAGCAGGGUUAGUCGACCCCUAAGGCAAGGCCGAAAAGCGUAGCCGAUGGGAAACAGGUUAAUAUUCCUGUACUUGGCGUGAUUGCGAAGGGGAGACGAAGAAAGCUAGGUUCGCCAGGUGACGGUUGUCCUGGUUUAAGCGUGCAGGUGGAAGGAGCAGGAAAAUCCACUCUUUCGUAACACUGAGGCGUUAUGACGAACCACUGCGGUGGUGAAGGAAUUAAUGCUACGCUUCCGGGAAAAUCCUCUAAGCUAUCGGUCCCGUUAAAUCGUACCCAAAACCGACACAGGUGGUUAGGUAGAGAAUACCCAGGCGCUUGAGAGAACUCGGGUGAAGGAACUAGGCAAAAUGGUGCCGUAACUUCGGAAGAAGGCACGCUGGCAUGUAGGUGGCGAGCCUUGCGCUCUGAGCUGAAGCCAGUCGCAGAUACCAGCUGGCUGCAACUGUUUAUUAAAAACACAGCACUGUGCAAACACGCAAGUGGACGUAUACGGUGUGACGCCUGCCCGGUGCCGGAAGGUUAAUUGAUAGGGUUAUCCGUAGUCAGGAAAAGCUCUUGAUUGAAGCCCCGGUAAACGGCGGCCGUAACUAUAACGGUCCUAAGGUAGCGAAAUUCCUUGUCGGGUAAGUUCCGACCUGCACGAAUGGCGUAAUGAUGGCCAGACUGUCUCCACCCGAGACUCAGUGAAAUUGAAAUCGCCGUGAAGAUGCGGUGUACCCGCGGCAAGACGGAAAGACCCCGUGAACCUUUACUAUAGCUUGACACUGAACAUUGAUCCUUAAUGUAUAGGAUAGGUGGGAGGCUGUGAAAUGUGGGCGCCAGUUCACAUGAAGCCAACCUUGAAAUACCACCCUUUAAUGUUUAAUGUUCUAACUCAGACCCGUGAUCCGGGUUAAGGACAGUGUCUGGUGGGUAGUUUGACUGGGGCGGUCUCCUCCCAAAAUGUAACGGAGGAGCACAAAGGUUAGCUAAUCACGGUCGGAAAUCGUGAGGUUAGUGCAAAGACAUAAGCUAGCUUGACUGCGAGAGUGACGGCUCGAGCAGGUGCGAAAGCAGGUCUUAGUGAUCCGGUGGUUCCGCAUGGAAGGGCCAUCGCUCAACGGAUAAAAGGUACUCCGGGGAUAACAGGCUAAUACCGCCCAAGAGUUCAUAUCGACGGCGGUGUUUGGCACCUCGAUGUCGGCUCAUCACAUCCUGGGGCUGCAGUAGGUCCCAAGGGUAUGGCUGUUCGCCAUUUAAAGUGGUACGUGAGCUGGGUUUAGAACGUCGUGAGACAGUUCGGUCCCUAUCUGCCGUGGGCGCUGGAAGAUUGAGAGGGGCUGCUCCUAGUACGAGAGGACCGGAGUAGACGUACCACUGGUAUUCGGGUUGUCAUGCCAAUGGCACUGCCCGGUAGCUAUGUACGGAAGAGAUAACCGCUGAAAGCAUCUAAGCGGGAAACUUGCCUCGAGAUGAGUCUUCCCUGAGGCUUUUAGCCUCCUAAAGGGACGUUAAAGACGAUGACGUUAAUAGGUUGGGUGUGUAAGCGCUGUGAAGCGUUGAGCUAACCAAUACUAAUGACCCGUGAGACUUAACCUU